rnacentral:rRNA from 1 species
UCGAGAAUCUUCGGCAAUGGGCGAAAGCCUGACCGAGCGACGCCGCGUGCGGGAUGAAGGCCCUCGGGUUGUAAACCGCUGUCAGUGGGGAGGAAGGCUCUGUGAAGAGCAGGGUUUGACCUAUCCGCAGAGGAAGUCCGGGCUAAGUUCGUGCCAGCAGCCGCGGUAACACGAACCGGACAAACGUUAUUCGGAAUCACUGGGCUUAAAGGGUGCGUAGGCGGCCUGACAAGUUGGGUGUGAAAUCCCUCGGCUUAACCGAGGAGUUGCGCUCAAAACUGUUGGGCUUGAGGGAGUUAGAGGUGAGCGGAACUUAGGGUGGAGCGGUGAAACGCGUUGAUAUCCUAAGGAACACCAGUGGCGAAAGCGGCUCACUGGAGCUCUUCUGACGCUGAGGCACGAAAGCUAGGGGAGCGAACGG